rnacentral:snRNA from 1 species
GGGGGGGCUGGAAAUCUGGCUCCAAUAUCUGUCAUCCCAUUGAUUGCUAGGGUUGAUUCAGCUGAUCUGGUUGGCCAAGACUGGUGUCCCCUUUCCCCCUCACCACUCCAUGUCUCUCUGGAAGAGAAUGGCCUUCCUGGAAUAGAGGGGAACCAUUCUUCAGUUAAGGGUAUAGGAGUAGCUGAACUUCCCUGAUAGAACCUCCAAAGAUGCUAUCAUGGUCAGAAGUAAAAGGGGGAAAGUGAAAAUUGCUGCCAGGAAUAAUAGAGUUCGUAUGUGAGCAGUAAGCCCACAUC